GCGCAGCAGGCGCGAAUCUUCCACAAUGGGGGAAACCCUGAUGGAGCGACGCCGCGUGCGGGAUGAAGGCCCUAUGGGUUGUAAACCGCUGUUCAGUGGAAAGAACAUCCUCCGGCUGGAAAUAGGUCGGAGGCCUGACGUUACCCACUGCAGAAAGUCCCGGCCAACUCCGUGCCAGCAAGCCGCGGUAAUACGGGGGGGACAGCGUUAGUCCCGGAAUCAUUGGGCGUAAAGGGCGCGUAAGGCGGCGAGGAAAGUCGAAUGUGAAAUCUUGCGGCUC
rnacentral:rRNA from 1 species